UCGCGUGUCUCUAGUAGUUUGAUCCUGGCUCAGGAUGAACGCUGGCGGCGUGCCUAACACAUGCAAGUCGAGCGCGUCUUAUCGGUGCUUGCACUGAGAAAGAUGAGCGGCGGACGGGUGAGUAACGCGUGGGUAACCUGCCCUAUACACAUGGAUAACAUACUGAAAAGUUUACUAAUACAUGAUAAUAUAUAUUUACGGCAUCGUAGAUAUAUCAAAGUGUUAGCGGUAUAGGAUGGACCCGCGUCUGAUUAGCUAGUUAGUGAGAUAACUGCCCACCAAGGCGACGAUCAGUAGCCGACCUGAGAGGGUGAUCGGCCACAUUGGAACUGAGACACGGUCCAA
rnacentral:rRNA from 1 species